rnacentral:rRNA from 1 species
UGCAGCCAUUUAACCUCAAGCUGCAAUCCAGAAACCUUGCAGGCUAUGUGGGGAUGGGCUGGGUUAGUACUCGGAUGGGAGACCACCAAAGAAAACCCAGUAUGGUUUUGA